rnacentral:rRNA from 1 species
CUUGAACGCUGGCGGCAGGCCUAACACAUGCAAGUCGAGCGGCGCGGCGGACUGGUGCGUAAUGCCUAGGAAUCUGCCUGGUAGUGGGGGAUCACGUCCGGCAACGGGCGCUAAUCCCGCAUCCUAUCAGAUGCGCCUAGGUCGGAUUAGCUCGUUGGGGGGGAAAAGGCCUACCAAGGCGACGAUCCGUAACUGGUCUGAGAGGAUGAUCAGUCACAAUGGAACGGAGACACGGUCCAUACUCCUACGGGAGGCAGCAGUGGGGAAUAUUGGACAAUGGGCGAAAGCCUGAUCCAGCCAUGCCGCGUGUGUGAAGAAGGUCUUCGGAUUGUAAAGCACUUUAAGUUGGGAGGCGUUACCAACAGAAUAAGCACCGGCUAACUUCGUGCCAGCAGCCGCGGUAAUUC